GACGAACGCUGGCGGCGUGCUUAACACAUGCAAGUCGAACGGAAAGGCCCUGCUUUUGUGGGGUGCUCGAGUGGCGAACGGGUGAGUAACACGUGAGUAACCUUCCCUUGACUUUGGGAUAACUUCAGGAAACUGGGGCUAAUACCGGAUAGGAGCUCCUGCUGCAUGGUGGGGGUUGGAAAGUUUCGGCGGUUGGGGAUGGACUCGCGGCUUAUCAGCUUGUUGGUGGGGUAGUGGCUUACCAAGGCUUUGACGGGUAGCCGGCCUGAGAGGGUGACCGGCCACAUUGGGACUGAGAUACGGCCCAGACUCCUACGGGAGGCAGCAGUGGGGAAUAUUGCACAAUGGGCGGAAGCCUGAUGCAGCAACGCCGCGUGCGGGAUGACGGCCUUCGGGUUGUAAACCGCUUUCGCCUGUGACGAAGAGUGAGCGACGGUAAUGGGUAAAGAAGCACCGGCUAACUACGUG
rnacentral:rRNA from 1 species